rnacentral:rRNA from 1 species
AGUGAACGCUGGCGGUAGGCCUAACACAUGCAAGUCGAACGGCAGCACCGUAAGAGCUUGCUCUUACGGGUGGCGCGUGGCGGACGGGUGAGUAAUACAUCGGAAUCUACUUUUUCGUGGGUGCUAACGUAGGGAAACUUACGCUAAUACCGCAUACGACCUCCGUGUGAAAGCAGGCGAUCUUCUGACCUUUCGCUAUUGAAUGAGCCUAUGUCGGAUUAGCUAGUUGGCUGGGUAAAGGCCCAACACGGCCACGAUCCGUAGCGGGUCGGAGAGGAUGAUCAGAUACACGGGAACUGAGACAGGGUAGAGACUCCUAAGGGAAGACGCAGUGGAGAAUAUUGGGCGAGGGGGGAAAGCCUGAUACAGCAAAACCGCGUGGGGGAAGAAGGACUUAGGGUGGGAAAGCGAUUUUGUUGGGAGAGAAAAGAAGCAGGUUAAUACCCCGCGGUUCUGACGGUACCGAAAGAAUAAGCACCGGCUAACUUCGUG